rnacentral:misc_RNA from 1 species
UGCUGGUUGGCUGGGAUAUCAGAUUACAGAUAUGAAUGAUUAUUAUUUUCAUAUCAAACUAUUAUUUUCAUAUCAAAGGUUGCUGAAACUGCUGACCCUCUCUUUUGCUCGUACCUGAAAGUUUCCACGUUUCAAAGCGCCCUGAAUAUUUUAACCGCUAACCGGUAUGACCUAAAUCCUGAUUUAUCAGCUUUGAGGAUUCGCCGAACCCCUGUCAUGCCUCACGUGGACGGCAGGGUUGGCUUGUGCUGCCACCUGUCGGCGCUGCACGCGGCUGGCGUUCGCUCAUCCGUCACCAGGUGGUGUUCGUGGCGCUGCCCACGUGACAUGACGUCACAUCCGCUGUCGGCUCUCGACCAAUGAGCGGCCGGCGUCGGGCGCGGCUCGGCGGCGAGACGCCAGCGUCGGUCUCAUUUCUUCCGGUGGCGUCCGAGCAGGAAAUUGCGCGAUAAACUCUCGGCUUGGCAAUACAUCACAUUUCAAAGUUUAUCUUGCUGGACUGCUCAAGACAAGAGCUGCUGUCAUGAUUGAAAUUUACUGGAUGCCACUGAUGUCUGUGAUGCUGGCUUCUGUGAGAAACAAGUCUCCUGGCCCUAUAACAGAGGAAUGCAAGAGGAUAUUCAUCAAGAAUCAGAUUACAGUGGAUAAAGAGCUGAAGAACUUACCUACCUAAUCAAAACAGCUAGAACUGAACUAUGGGCAACCUGAGAGGAAUAUUUGAAGGUAUACUGGAGCGCACCAUGAUGACAAUGUGAUAUCAUGGGAUAUAGAUCUCUAAGGAGCUGGUCUUGUCAAUGAUUGACAGACUGGUUGAACUACAUGGGUCAUGUGGAUCUGGCUGCCUGCCAAGGUCAGAUUCCUGACAGCAAGACUUCGUGAAUAUGCAAGGAUCGCGUUCAGUCAGGUCUUGUGUGUUGACUGCUGCUUUGCACCAGCUUUGACUGCUCGAGAUCAUGGCACAUCCGUGGACGGCGUUGUCUCUACCUGUUGUCACUCCUAAGCCGUGUUCAACCAAAUUUCCAGUCCCAGGACGCUGAAAGUACACUUCUUCCAUCGGUGCAACUCUCGUCACCCGAUGACUGAUACGAGCCAGUCACCUGAACCUGCAAAGGUUAUCCUGCUGUGGUGUUAGCAAGCGUCGUCUAUUUGCGAACGGCAAAGGGUCACAACGCAUCUGAAUAGCUGGCAAGUGUGCGGUUCCUGAUUCCGUGGAGCAGCGUUAUCGAAAAAGAGACGUUCUGCGGGCUAAGAGCGCUGUAAAUGACAUCUAUAGCGAGUAUGGCGACAACCCCCUUCGCCCGGUGGUCUCGAGUGGAGCUUUGCUACAUACAAGGGUAUCCGCGGCGUCCCCAAGCUCUACUUUGCUUCAUCGCCUGCUAUGUGCGUUGGCGCUUCUGAUGAAGAUUUACCAGUCUGCCCUGGGAUCGGCUAACGUCGAGAUUGAAGGAUUCAUCUGCUUGGUAAAUGGUGUCUGCAAGUCUGCUAGAUCACGAUUCAUGCCCCAACGUGAGCGGAAUGGUUCUAGUGCCAAUGUGCGUUCUUCUGUCUGCACAAGAAGCCGAUUCGGUGAAGCGAGUCUAUGGAAACUCGUCACAGUGCACAUUAGAUGGUCCCUCAGAAGUAUGAAGUAGAUUCGAGAAUGACAUCCUCACAAGUCGCUGGGACGCUUACAGCAGACUUAAGCGUGUCCGACAUCGGCUCUGGCGGAAUCUGAAACAGUGUCCCCACGCAGGUGGAUAUGCAGAGCGGACUGUGGCACCGCGCUUGCGCAGCUGGCAGAGGCGAAACGAUUGGCCCGUAGACUAGGUUGUUGUUACGGCAAAUGUUCGCCUACCCGUUUUGAUGGAAGACUGGAUCAUAAAUGCCUGUAAUAUGUGUCAAAACACAAGUUGCGGAGACAGUCUGAGAAUAUGUCGUUUUCUCUAGACCAUCAUGCAGUACUUCAACCUGCAGUAACCAGCUCAUUGAACCCGCGAUAUGAUAAUGCAAGCCAGGCCCUCCCGUCUUCUAACAGGUGUCUUCACUACGGUCGCAACUGCGCUAUGGAUUGCUUGCCAACGAUACUGAAGGUUCCGCCUGAAGAAGUUGCAGACCCCCUGCUCUGCGACUCUGGAAAUGGUUGCUUCCAACAAUCAACAUAAAUGCGGCUCUGGUCGUUUGCAUUAUUCCAUAGCUGCCUUCUUCGUCGUUGGAGCUCGUCGUGUCCCGGCGUCGUCCAUUCGACUCCUCGCGGCCUUCGUCGGCACUGCCACCAUCAUCAAACACAAAGCAGCAAAUAGUGGUGGAAAGAACCCGCGAAGUUGCUCUAGGUUUUGGGGGUGCAGCACCUAUGGUGCUACAGCACAAAAAGUUCUCUGAAAAGUGCUAGCGGCUUGGUAGUGUGUACUGCGGCCCACAAACGAAAGGAAACUCGGCUGAAAGAGGAUCAGGAAACCAGCGUUGCUGCCCUCGUCCGUGCUAACAAGUGCAUGUAACCGCAGAGGGUCCCUGACCAAAAACCACGCAUCUAAAGGCUUCUGGGGAACUUUAAACGGCACGCGUUCUUCGAAUGAAAGUUGUUGGUGUCUGGCGGAGUAUGGCCACAUCCCAGCUUCUGUGCCCUAGCCUCCGGAAUGAAAUUCCACAUGACUGAAUUCCUAGGUCUCAAACCCUAGUCUGCACAGCCUUCAUAGCUCUACGCGCAUUCGUUCAUCGUUUGACUAUUGGCGAAUUCCCGAUAGGUCGUGUUUGAAGAACCAAGAAAGUGAUGUCCGGUUCCAAAAUACCCAGCUGUUGCAUCUGAGCUGAGAACUUCUUGGAACUUCUUCGCUGUGUCUGUGAUAACUGAUGAGCCACGGGGAUGACUCGCCGGUCGGAACUGCGAGGUGCCACCCGCCGGGUCUUCCGGCGCCGUGACGCCGCGUCGUGGAAACAAUCCGUGGUGUGAUCGGCAUUGUAUGGUGUAUGCUUGAUUACAAGGACGCGUGUAUUUCGAGUCGAGAACGUUGUCUAAUAAAUGGCAGUCUGUUGAUAAAAUGGA